UAGAUCAAAAGAUAGACACAUUUUUCUCAAACGCAUCAAAUAAGCGGCCAUAUUUUCGGUGCAAGAGUAGUGUCGUUUUCGGCUUGUGCCGUCUAUCAUAUAUAAAAGUUCUGAAAGGGAGGAGUAUAUCUGGAGUACGAUAUUUUUCGUUUGAAACAAGAAGUGAGAGACGCUGUGGUAUUCUGUGGUUCCUUGUGAAAGACUGUUUUCAAAGGCUGGCCAGAUAGUGACAGAGAAGAGGAUUUGUUUGUCUUGUCCCCUCAUCUCACCGUCGCCCACCCUCGACGGAUAGUCGAACACCAGAUGCUAUCCCUGGUCAUUAUGCACAAUGCCACAGUGCGUGCGGCAACUCUCGGUUGAGACAACGAUACCGAUCGCAGCGUUUGAUGAGUACUGUCUGCCUCGUAAGAAUAUUGCAAUGGAGGCCUUCAAAUACAAUUCCAUUGCGCAGAAAGAGAAGCAAACUUUUGCUGAGUUCGAGACUGAGUUGAGAACGCAAGUUCAAUAUUGCGAAUUUAGUUGCGCUACCUGUCAAACAAUCUACAGCGACCGUAUGCUGCGAGAUAGAAUCAUCAAAUUGGGAUUCAGGAUAAGAAGCUGCAACUCAAAUUUCUGGAUGGCAGAGACGACCCCUUAUCAAAGAUCAUCGAGACAUGCAAGAUUUUCGAAGCCGCAUCCGAGAAUAAACAGCUACUGGAUCGGAAGAGUAUUUUUUUGGAAGUGAAGGUGGUUUCGAAGGAGCAAAUUGAUUCGAGUGCCAGGACCGUGGAUGCAGUAACACGUAACCGUUGCUAUAAUUGUGGAAGGCCGUACAAUCAAAAUCAUCGGAGGAAUUGCCCGGCGUCGACUGCUGUAUGUCAUUCGUGUGGAGAAAUUGGCCACUACAGCAAGUGUUGCCGCAAGAAGACAAUGAAGCAGCCAGGAAGUCAUCAACAGUCAUCAAAGUCAGCUGGAAGGAAUGAUAAAACGAUACAUACGGUGAACUGGAAUGACGCUGAUGCAAUUUCCGCGAAAAGCAUUGGUGGGCGAGGAGCAUGAAUUACAGGGCCAGUGUGAACGUGUUAAUAAAGAGAAGUAAAUUUUCAUUCAUAAUUUUCAUUUUCAAAGCGCGUUAUCCCUCCUGAGAAUCGAUUACCAUUUUUACUUUACACCAGCGGAACACGAAGCUUAAUUCCGCAAACACGAAAUCAAAUUGGACUAAUAACUAUGUCAUUACAGUACAGUUUCGAGCUUUUCCUUUAAAUUUUCUCAAAAAUUAAAAAUUACAACAUCCAUCUACGGGCAGAGACGAAUACAACAAAAUGAAGACGGCUCAAUUGGACGAUUUCUUUCUCGGAUUUUGCGUUCACCAACACAUUUGGCGAUCCAUUUUCAUUUAUAUAGAUAUACUAGCUGACUCGGCACACGUUGUUCUGUCAUAUA